rnacentral:lncRNA from 1 species
AAUGAGGAGGAGGGAGACUGAGGGGGCUGCCUUUCCUUGGGGACUGGGGAACUCAUGCCCUGCCCCCACCCGCAGGGCUCCAGGGGUGAGGAAACUGAGGCUCGUUACUGACUUGCCCAAGAUUCCACAGUGGAAGAGCCUGGACGUGAACUGCGUCUCCAGGUCUCGAACCAUUUCCUGUCCUGGUCCCAGGACCUAGGUGGGGCCGCCGCGCGGUCAGACAGAGCCGGCCCGCCUGGGACCCCUUGGCUGCCCUCGCCCCCCGGCCCCGCCCCCCGCACGCUCACCGGCCUCGGCGCUGGCCGCCCCACCAUCCGGAGCGCACCGCCCGGACGCCCAGCGCCAGCAGCAGCAGCACCAGCAGCGCGGCGCCGGCCGUCAGGCCCCCGACCAGCGCCCUCCAGUGGACGGCCACCUCGCAGCGCGGGCCAGAGAACCAGUGCGUGUCGGUGGAGUAGCAGCUGCGGGAGAUCGCAGGAGCAGUCUCUGUGGAAACUGCUGAGCCACAUGGUCAAGCACCACAGCCAGCCAAGACGCUGCAAACCAAGCUGGAGGUUUCGGGGGUUUCCAGUCUUUUUUUUUUUUUUUUUUAAGUAUCAAACACCAUAAAAUUCCCAUCACUGUUCUGGAGACACAGACGUAAAUGGAAAAUGGAUUCCUGUUAGUCUGGUGCAUCUGAAAGUUCUGUGAACACUAGCCUGCCACAUUCAGUGGAUCUGGAGGCAACUAUCGCCCUCCUAUAAAUACCAAGGGUGCCACUGGCCUGCUCCUUACACCAGACAGUAAACAGUCACCAAGAGCCUGAUUGAAGCUUUGGGACAAAACAAUGAAACCAAAAGAUGGAUUUGCUGAGUAGCGGAGACCGUAAACUGCUACUCUCAGUUUAUUUAUUUAUUUAUUUUUAAUUUUUUUUUUUUUUUGAGAUGGAGUCUCACUCUGCC